rnacentral:rRNA from 1 species
UCCUGGCUCAGGAUGAACGCUAGCGACAGGCUUAACACAUGCAAGUCGAGGGGCAUCACGGGAGUAGCAAUACAACUGGUGGCGACCGGCGCACGGGUGAGUAACGCGUAUGCAACCUACCUAUCAGAGGGGAAUAACCCGGCGAAAGUCGGACUAAUACCGCAUAAAACAGGGGCACCGCAUGGUGAUAUUUGUUAAAGAAAUUCGCUGAUAGAUGGGCAUGCGUUCCAUUAGGUAGUUGGUGAGGUAACGGCUCACCAAGCCGACGAUGGAUAGGGGAACUGAGAGGUUGGUCCCCCACACUGGUACUGAGACACGGACCAGACUCCUACGGGAGGCAGCAGUGAGGAAUAUUGGUCAAUGGGCGGGAGCCUGAACCAGCCAAGUCGCGUGAAGGAAGAAGGAUCUAUGGUUCGUAAACUUCUUUUGCAGGGGAAUAAAGUGCAGGACGUGUCCUGUUUUGUAUGUACCCUGAGAAUAAGGAUCGGCUAACUCCGUGCCAGCCGCCGC